rnacentral:rRNA from 1 species
GUUGGCUUGGAAGCAGCCAUUCAUUUAAAGAGUGCGUAACAGCUCACUAGUCGAGGAGUUUGGCGUGGAUAAUAAUCGGGCAUCAAGUAUUCUACCGAAGCUUUGGGAUGUGUAAACAUCGGUAGGGGAGCAUUCCACUCGGCGUCGAAGGUGAAGCGUGAGCUUUGCUGGAGCGUGUGGAAAAGCAAAUGUAGGUAUAAGUAACGAUAAAGGGGGUGAGAAACCCCCUCGCCGAAAGACUAAGGUUUCCUGAUCAACGCUAAUCGGAUCAGGGUCAGUCGGGUCCUAAGGCUCAGCCGAACGGCGAUGCCGAUGGCAGAAACGGUUAAUAUUCCGUUACUACCUUCAGGAGUGACGUGGAGACGCAGUAGUGACAGUGCCGCCAUCUGACGGAAUAGAUGGUUGAAGGGUGUAGGAGUCGAUCAUGGCAGGCAAAUCCACCAUGAGAUCCGAACCUGAUAGUAUGCCGCGUCCUUCGGGACAAGGCAAUAGUGCGCGUAAGCAUGCUGCCGAGAAAAUCCGCUAAACUUAAUCCUGCAGGUACCCGUACCGCAAACGGACACACGUAGUCGGGUUGAAUAUACUAAGGCGCUUGAGUGAUUCACGGUUAAGGAACUAGGCAAACUGACCCUGUAACUUCGGGAUAAAGGGUCCCUACCCUUUUAUGGGAGGGCGCAGAGAAUCGGUCCAGGCAACUGUUUAACAAAAACACAGGGCUGUGCCAAAUCGAAAGAUCCAGUAUACAGCCUGACACCUGCCCGGUGCUGGAAGGUUAAGAGGAGAUGUCAUCGAUAAGAGAAGCGUUGAAUUGAAGCCCCAGUAAACGGCGGCCGUAACUAUAACGGUCCUAAGGUAGCGAAAUUCCUUGUCGGGUAAGUUCCGACCUGCACGAAUGGUGUAAUGAUCUGGACGCUGUCUCAACCGUGAGCUCAGUGAAAUUGUAGUAUCGGUGAAGAUGCCGAUUACCCGCGAUGGGACGAAAAGACCCCGUGAACCUUUACUAUAGCUUAUCAUUGAAUCUGGGCACGUGAUGUGUAGGAUAGGUCGGAGGCUUUGAAGCAGGUACGCCAGUAUUUGUGGAGCCGCUGUUGAAAUACGACCCUUUAUUUGUUUGGAUUCUAACCCGUGGAUACGGGGACAUUGAUUGGUGGGUAGUUUGACUGGGGUGGUCGCCUCCAAAAGCGUAACGGAGGCUUCUA